GGCUGAAAUUCGCCUUCAUGAAGCCGGAAUUGCUAGUAAUGGCAGGUCAGCAUACUGCCGUGAAUACGUUCCCGGGCCUUGUACACACCGCCCGUCACACCAUGAGAGUUGGGAAUACCCGAAGCCUGUGAGCUAACUAAUAGAGGCAGCAGUCGAAGGUAGAAUCAAUGAUUGGGGUGAAGUCGUAACAAGGUACC
rnacentral:rRNA from 1 species